rnacentral:rRNA from 1 species
UACGGGUGGGCAAACGUUGCUCGGAAUUAUUGGGCGUAAAAGCGCACGUAGGCGGUUCGUUAAGUCGGAUGUGAAAGCCCUCGGCUCAACUGAGGAAGUGCACCCGAAACUGGCGAGCUUGAGUACGAAAGAGGAUCGCGGAAUUCCCGGUGUAGAGGUGAAAUUCGUAGAUAUCGGGAGGAACACCGGCGGCGAAGGCGGCGAUCUGGGUCGAUACUGACGCUGAGGUGCGAAAGCGUGGGGAGCAAACAGG